AACGAACGCUGGCGGCAUGCCUAACACAUGCAAGUCGAACGAAGCCUUCGGGCUUAGUGGCGCACGGGUGCGUAACGCGUGGGAAUCUGCCCUUGGGUUCGGAAUAACAGUUAGAAAUGACUGCUAAUACCGGAUGAUGUCUUCGGACCAAAGAUUUAUCGCCCAAGGAUGAGCCCGCGUAGGAUUAGGUAGUUGGUGGGGUAAAAGGCCUACCAAGCCGACGAUCCUUAGCUGGUCUGAGAGGAUGAUCAGCCACACUGGGGACUGAGACACGGCCCAGACUCCUACGGGAGGCAGCAUGGGGAAUUUUGGCAAUGGNGCAAGCCUGAUCCAGCAAUGCCGCGUGCAGAAGAAAGGCCCUGUGUAGU
rnacentral:rRNA from 1 species